UACGUAGGGUGCGAGCGUUAAUCGGAAUUACUGGGCGUAAAGCGUGCGCAGGCGGUUUUGUAAGCCAGAUGUGAAAUCCCCCGGGCUUAACCUGGGAAUGGCAUUUGGGACUGCAAGGCUUGAGUGCGGCAGAGGAGACUGGAAUUCCUGGUGUAGCAGUGAAAUGCGUAGAUAUCAGGAGGAACACCGGUGGUGUAGACGGCUCUCUGGACCGUAACUGACGCUGAGGCACGAAAGCGUGGGUAGCAAACAGG
rnacentral:rRNA from 1 species